UGCACGCUGCCUCCGCCGGCGCCCAGCAUCUGCUCGCGCCGCCUGCCCAGAAUAGAACGUCUCAUUGUGAUGGAUUAAUCCUUUGGCUCCGGUCCUGCCCGGGUCACCAGCUCAGCCUGCGCCCGCCGAGUGCUGGCGGGGUGGACAAAGGGCACUUUAACUCAUUCAGCACAUUCCCUCUUCUCUCCUGCAGAAGGGCCCUCUCCAGUUGCGCGGCCCUUGUAUAGAAACCGAGAUGGACUUGCAAGGACCAUUACUAUGAUUAAAUGAGUUAAUACAUACAAAGUGCUUUCGACUUCACAAAAGGACAAAUAUUGUACCAGUCCACUUAUGAAUCACCUGAAAGAACUGGACAGCUCGGAAACGAGUGAAUGCAUCUUGUAAGCAGGGAGAAAACUAGAGGGAUCCAUCUGGGACUGAGUGCACCAAAACUCUUGUGUCUCUCACGGCGAAGCGCUCUCACUAACUCAAGCUGAGAUACACCCACCCUCAACACUGAACACCCCACAAUGCUGCUUGUCACAGUGAAAAUGGUGUAAGGAAAUAGAGCACACAACCUCACAUACCCCAGCUCCAGCUAAUCAGGCAAGCCUUCAGGAUGGACACCCUGUGGGGUUGCACAGUGAGGGAGCAUACCGUAUUUACUGUAUAGCUCCAGGAUUCCACAGAACCUGCAGGAGGCAGAGGCUGCAGGUCCACAUACCGCGCAUGUGCUUUACCUGAGAUGUUCCGUGCCUUUGGUCAUCUCUCAUCUGCAAGUUUUUAUGUAUAUUUGACCAACACUUAUCAAGGAAGUCCUUAUACAUAAACUGCCUCAUGUCUGCAUCUGGUUGCAAGUAUGGCCAUGCUGUCUCCUCUUUUCAUUUGACAAAAAUGCAUUGUAUGGAAAUUAGUAUUA